UUAAGCGACUAAGCGUACACGGUGGAUGCCCUGGCAGUCAGAGGCGAUGAAGGACGUGCUAAUCUGCGAUAAGCGUCGGUAAGGUGAUAUGAACCGUUAUAACCGGCGAUUUCCGAAUGGGGAAACCCAGUGUGUUUCGACACACUAUCAUUAACUGAAUCCAUAGGUUAAUGAGGCGAACCGGGGGAACUGAAACAUCUAAGUACCCCGAGGAAAAGAAAUCAACCGAGAUUCCCCCAGUAGCGGCGAGCGAACGGGGAGCAGCCCAGAGCCUGAAUCAGUGUGUGUGUUAGUGGAAGCGUCUGGAAAGGCGCGCGAUACAGGGUGACAGCCCCGUACACAAAAAUGCACAUGCUGUGAGCUCGAUGAGUAGGGCGGGACACGUGGUAUCCUGUCUGAAUAUGGGGGGACCAUCCUCCAAGGCUAAAUACUCCUGACUGACCGAUAGUGAACCAGUACCGUGAGGGAAAGGCGAAAAGAACCCCGGCGAGGGGAGUGAAAAAGAACCUGAAACCGUGUACGUACAAGCAGUGGGAGCACGCUUAGGCGUGUGACUGCGUACCUUUUGUAUAAUGGGUCAGCGACUUAUAUUCUGUAGCAAGGUUAACCGAAUAGGGGAGCCGAAGGGAAACCGAGUCUUAACUGGGCGUUAAGUUGCAGGGUAUAGACCCGAAACCCGGUGAUCUAGCCAUGGGCAGGUUGAAGGUUGGGUAACACUAACUGGAGGACCGAACCGACUAAUGUUGAAAAAUUAGCGGAUGACUUGUGGCUGGGGGUGAAAGGCCAAUCAAACCGGGAGAUAGCUGGUUCUCCCCGAAAGCUAUUUAGGUAGCGCCUCGUGAAUUCAUCUCCGGGGGUAGAGCACUGUUUCGGCAAGGGGGUCAUCCCGACUUACCAACCCGAUGCAAACUGCGAAUACCGGAGAAUGUUAUCACGGGAGACACACGGCGGGUGCUAACGUCCGUCGUGAAGAGGGAAACAACCCAGACCGCCAGCUAAGGUCCCAAAGUCAUGGUUAAGUGGGAAACGAUGUGGGAAGGCCCAGACAGCCAGGAUGUUGGCUUAGAAGCAGCCAUCAUUUAAAGAAAGCGUAAUAGCUCACUGGUCGAGUCGGCCUGCGCGGAAGAUGUAACGGGGCUAAACCAUGCACCGAAGCUGCGGCAGCGACGCUGAUGCGUUGUUGGGUAGGGGAGCGUUCUGUAAGCCUGUGAAGGUGUGCUGUGAGGCAUGCUGGAGGUAUCAGAAGUGCGAAUGCUGACAUAAGUAACGAUAAAGCGGGUGAAAAGCCCGCUCGCCGGAAGACCAAGGGUUCCUGUCCAACGUUAAUCGGGGCAGGGUGAGUCGACCCCUAAGGCGAGGCCGAAAGGCGUAGUCGAUGGGAAACAGGUUAAUAUUCCUGUACUUGGUGUUACUGCGAAGGGGGGACGGAGAAGGCUAUGUUGGCCGGGCGACGGUUGUCCCGGUUUAAGCGUGUAGGCUGGUUUUCCAGGCAAAUCCGGAAAAUCAAGGCUGAGGCGUGAUGACGAGGCACUACGGUGCUGAAGCAACAAAUGCCCUGCUUCCAGGAAAAGCCUCUAAGCAUCAGGUAACAUCAAAUCGUACCCCAAACCGACACAGGUGGUCAGGUAGAGAAUACCAAGGCGCUUGAGAGAACUCGGGUGAAGGAACUAGGCAAAAUGGUGCCGUAACUUCGGGAGAAGGCACGCUGAUAUGUAGGUGAAGCGACUUGCUCGUGGAGCUGAAAUCAGUCGAAGAUACCAGCUGGCUGCAACUGUUUAUUAAAAACACAGCACUGUGCAAACACGAAAGUGGACGUAUACGGUGUGACGCCUGCCCGGUGCCGGAAGGUUAAUUGAUGGGGUUAGCGCAAGCGAAGCUCUUGAUCGAAGCCCCGGUAAACGGCGGCCGUAACUAUAACGGUCCUAAGGUAGCGAAAUUCCUUGUCGGGUAAGUUCCGACCUGCACGAAUGGCGUAAUGAUGGCCAGGCUGUCUCCACCCGAGACUCAGUGAAAUUGAACUCGCUGUGAAGAUGCAGUGUACCCGCGGCAAGACGGAAAGACCCCGUGAACCUUUACUAUAGCUUGACACUGAACAUUGAGCCUUGAUGUGUAGGAUAGGUGGGAGGCUUAGAAGUGUGGACGCCAGUCUGCAUGGAGCCGACCUUGAAAUACCACCCUUUAAUGUUUGAUGUUCUAACGUUGACCCGUAAUCCGGGUUGCGGACAGUGUCUGGUGGGUAGUUUGACUGGGGCGGUCUCCUCCUAAAGAGUAACGGAGGAGCACGAAGGUUGGCUAAUCCUGGUCGGACAUCAGGAGGUUAGUGCAAUGGCAUAAGCCAGCUUGACUGCGAGCGUGACGGCGCGAGCAGGUGCGAAAGCAGGUCAUAGUGAUCCGGUGGUUCUGAAUGGAAGGGCCAUCGCUCAACGGAUAAAAGGUACUCCGGGGAUAACAGGCUGAUACCGCCCAAGAGUUCAUAUCGACGGCGGUGUUUGGCACCUCGAUGUCGGCUCAUCACAUCCUGGGGCUGAAGUAGGUCCCAAGGGUAUGGCUGUUCGCCAUUUAAAGUGGUACGCGAGCUGGGUUUAGAACGUCGUGAGACAGUUCGGUCCCUAUCUGCCGUGGGCGCUGGAGAACUGAGGGGGGCUGCUCCUAGUACGAGAGGACCGGAGUGGACGCAUCACUGGUGUUCGGGUUGUCAUGCCAAUGGCACUGCCCGGUAGCUAAAUGCGGAAGAGAUAAGUGCUGAAAGCAUCUAAGCACGAAACUUGCCCCGAGAUGAGUUCUCCCUGACUCCUUGAGAGUCCUGAAGGAACGUUGAAGACGACGACGUUGAUAGGCCGGGUGUGUAAGCGCAGCGAUGCGUUGAGCUAACCGGUACUAAUGAACCGUGAGGCUUAACCUU
rnacentral:rRNA from 1 species